AGGUAUCUAGAUGUAUUACUACUGAUUUGCUAAAUAUAUCAGAUUAGUUUACAUUUAGAAUUGUUUCAGGUUCUCUGUGUCCUACUACUUCAGAAUGCUGGGCCGAAAUCUAAGGAUGUCUCUGCAUGUUCCUCUUUUGUAAAAGGGAGAGAUUAAGCAUCAAAUUCUAAACAGUAUUAUCAAGGAUUCGAUUCAGCUUUUAUCUCAGUUAAAGUAAGUAAUCAAACAAGUUCUCCUGGUUCUGUGCACAUUGAUAAUUUGGAUAAGUGAAGCUUUCAUGGCCCAAGACAUUGGUCAAUAAGUGGUUGAAUAUCAAGUGCAAAACUGAUAACUUUCAAGCAGAUGAUGAUGUU